rnacentral:tRNA from 1 species
CGUGGGGUGGAGCAGCUCGGUAGGUCGUCAGGCUAAUAACCUGAAGGCCGCAGGUUCAAAUCCUGCGUUCGCAACCA